UACGUAGGGUGCGAGCGUUGUCCGGAAUUAUUGGGCGUAAAGAGCUUGUAGGCGGUCUGUCGCGUCUGCUGUGAAAAUCCGGGGCUCAACCCCGGACUUGCAGUGGGUACGGGCAGACUAGAGUGUGGUAGGGGAGACUGGAAUUCCUGGUGUAGCGGUGAAAUGCGCAGAUAUCAGGAGGAACACCGAUGGCGAAGGCAGGUCUCUGGGCCACUACUGACGCUGAGAAGCGAAAGCUGGGGGAGCGAACAGG
rnacentral:rRNA from 1 species